GUAGAGGGAUGAAUGGAGUCGAGCUGUCAUGUACUUGAAAACCGUUUGGCGUCAAGCCACAUGGGUUCGAAUCCCAUCCUCUCCG
rnacentral:tRNA from 1 species